rnacentral:rRNA from 1 species
GACGAACGCUGGCGGCGUGCUUAACACAUGCAAGUCGAACGGAAAGGCCCUGCUUUUGUGGGGUGCUCGAGUGGCGAACGGGUGAGUAACACGUGAGUAACCUGCCCUUGACUUUGGGAUAACUUCAGGAAACUGGGGCUAAUACCGGAUAUGAGCUCCUGCUGCAUGGUGGGGGUUGGAAAGUUUCGGCAGUUGGGGAUGGACUCGCGGCUUAUCAGCUUGUUGGUGGGGUAGUGGCUUACCAAGGCUUUGACGGGUAGCCGGCCUGAGAGGGUGACCGGCCACAUUGGGACUGAGAUACGGCCCAGACUCCUACGGGAGGCAGCAGUGGGGAAUAUUGCACAAUGGGCGGAAGCCUGAUGCAGCAACGCCGCGUGCGGGAUGACGGCCGUCGGGUUGUAAACCGCUUUCGCCUGUGACGAAGCGUGAGUGACGGUAAUGGGUAAAGAAGCACCGGCUAACUACGUG